UUAGGUUGGUGCAAAAGUAAUUGUGGUUUUUGCCAUUACUUGUAAUUGUAAAACCCACAAUUACUUUUGCACCAACUUAAUAAAA
ensembl:miRNA